rnacentral:rRNA from 1 species
CGGGAAUCUUCCGCAAUGGACGAAAGUCCGACGGAGCAACGCCGCGUGAGUGAUGAAGGUUUUCGGAUCGUAAAGCUCUGUUGCCAGGGAAGAACGUCCUCUAGAGUAACUGCUAGGGGAGUGACGGUACCUGAGAAGAAAGCCCCGGCUAACUACGUGCCAGCAGCCGCGGUAAUACGUAGGGGGCAAGCGUUGUCCGGAAUUAUUGGGCGUAAAGCGCGCGCAGGCGGCUGUUUAAGUCUGGUGUUUAAUCCUGGGGCUCAACUCCGGGUCGCACUGGAAACUGGGCAGCUUGAGUGCAGAAGAGGAGAGUGGAAUUCCACGUGUAGCGGUGAAAUGCGUAGAGAUGUGGAGGAACACCAGUGGCGAAGGCGACUCUCUGGGCUGUAACUGACGCUGAGGCGCGAAAGCGUGGGGAGCAAAC